AGCAGCCGCGGUAAUUCCAGCUCCAAUAGCGUAUAUUAAAGUUGUUGCAGUUAAAAAGCUCGUAGUUGAAUUUCGGGGUCAGCAGGUUGGUCGUGCCGCUGGUAUGUACUGGCUUUGCUGAUUCCUCCUUCUUGUAGAACCGUAAUGCCAUUAAUUUGGUGUUGCGGGGAAACAGGACUGUUACUUUGAAAAAAUUAGAGUGUUUAAAGCAGGCUAACGCUUGAAUACAUUAGCAUGGAAUAAUGAAAUAGGACGAGCGAUCCUAUUUUGUUGGUUUCUAGGAUUGACGUAAUGAUUAAUAGGGAUAGUUGGGGGCAUUAGUAUUCAAUUGUCAGAGGUGAAAUUCUUGGAUUUAUUGAAGACUAACUACUGCGAAAGCAUUCGCCAAGGAUGUUUUCAUUAAUCAAGAACGAAAGUUAGGGGAUCGAAGACGAUCAGAUACCGUCGUAGUCUUAACCAUAAACUAUGCCGACUAGGGAUCGGACGAUGUUAACUUUUCUUGACUCG
rnacentral:rRNA from 1 species